ensembl:lncRNA novel transcript, antisense to RFX4
UUUUUUUUUUUUUUUUUUUUUUUUUUUUCAGAAUAGUCAUCUUGGAAAAUUAUUAGGAAUUUAUUCCAAGAGGUCCUUUGUUCAACAGUCUUCUGGAAAUUCCUUUAGAGACUGGUUCAAAAGCUUCUGAGCUACACCAAAAAAAUUAGUCUCAUUAUUUUCAGAAUACCAAAAAAGGGUUUUUCCCAGUUCGAUCAUCCAUUUUCUUUCCCUACCUUGGCUCCAAAAUCAAACCCACCCUUGGAGGAUGGGAAUGUGCUGCCCAGGGAUGAGAGGAGCUGGUGAGGGACAGGGGUUUGGCCCAGGGUGAGAGCACUGGACAUGCUUUUGACACAUCCUUCAAGACAAGUCUUAAAAGUCCUAUAUGGUUGCCUUUCUAAAAAGUUACAGUGUUUUAUAGGUCACUAUGUGCUGACCUGCUCAACGUGGUCAAAAUGCUUAGAAAUGCUGCAUAAUAAGGCACCCUCUAGUGGAGUCACCUUGUACAUUAGCAUAAUAAGGGUUCUGAGAAGUCUUGCAGUAAAGGAAACUGUUUAAACUUAGUGUUAACCAAACUUAUAGGGCCUGCUGCUCUUCUUCAUGGAACACCUAUUAUCGUCCAACAAUUUUUGAAACAUCCUUAGAGGCAAGUCCUAUAAAUGCAGAUUUUAAUGAAGGUCGAGCAGUACAGGAAGAGAUUCCCUUCCCACUGACUCACACCUAGCAGACAAGUGUCUGCACAGCCUUCUGCACUCCCCUAGUCUUUACUUAAAUGUAACCUCCUCUGAAAGACCUUCCCUGGCCAUUCCUCUUUUGUUGCUCUCUGCUACAACUUUGUCACAAUCUGAUUCUCUGUUUUGUCUGUUUCCCACCGGAAUCUAUGCUCCAUGAGGGCAGCAACUGAUUUGCUCCUGUGUUCCCAGUACCUAGCACCACAUAUGUGACACACAGAAAGUAUAAAGCAUGAGUUGGUUGGUUGCUUGAUGAAACUGAUGAAUGGGAAGCCGUGAACCCUCAUGGACCAUGGUGCAGCUGGACCUUUCUGCCCCAUCUCCCAUGCAGGGAAUAGUACAGUUUUGCUUCUCUGGUCUACUGCAUACUAUCAGAGCAGAGUUUGCUCAGCAAAACAGUCCAGAUAACCUGGUGAUCCUCCAAGAGGCCACAAGGCAAUCCUUUCAAUGAUGCCCAAGACUAUUUUACAAAAUAUGCCUAAAAGCAGGGUGGUACAAAAUCAGAUUCCUUAAAGCAGCAGAGCCAACUCGUCUUGGGCUUUUGGACAACCUCUCUUUCAGGAGUCCUGAGAGAGGGGCCCUGGCCGUCAUAAAGCUCUUCCAUAUUCCCUCUAGGCACAGACUUCUGCCAGGCCUGCAGACAGAGCUCAGGAUAAAGAGCCAAGGGUGUGGCCUGUCUCGAGGCCCAUAGAUGUGCGCUCUGCAGGUGGAAUGGCCGUCCGGUGCUUACUUUGACUGUCCUCGGGUCCCGAGUCUUCUGGUGGUUAACUGAGGAAACUGCUGCCUUAUGAUCUAGCAGAGGAUGAUAAUUGCUGUUGCCCAGGACAACCACACCAGUUCACAAGAAAUCCGUGAAGAGAGAGCAUCUCUCAAGGUGAAAACAUAACCAUGAGGCCCCUUUCCUUGGGGUUUACGGAGAUGAUGUUUGUGGAGAGGCAUGACAGGUCAGGGGUUACGUGCAAGAACUCUGGAACUCGACUACCUGAAUUGAAUGCAAGCUCAGGCAUUGGUUAGGCUGGAUGCCCUUGGGCAAGUUAUUUAGUAUCCACAUGACUCAGUUUCCCCAUUUGUAAAAUAGGAAUGAUAAUAACCUCUAGAGUUAUUGUGAAAUUUUAAAAAGUGAAUGUAUGUAAAUAGCUGGCAGUAGUGCCUGGCAGUUAGUAAGUACUUAAUAAAUGUUACCCAUUAUUACCACUGAUUGUCCUGAUGACCCUUUUACUUCCAGGGAUUUUUUGAGUGUAACCAAGACUCCCUUCCCUCCUGGUACAGCACUGAGCAGGCAUACAUGGUCAGAGAGAGUAAGCCUUCAUGAGAAAAGAAGCUGUUGCUGAUUUCUUGUUGGUAGGGCAUAAACCUUGAGUGCUUUCUCUAGGGAUGGGGAUGAAUCUCUAUUCAUCUAUUCACCCCUCUUUUAUCCACACCACUACUCUCACUGAUUGAUUUACUCAUUCACUCAACAAAUAUGGACUGUGACCUUGUUAGCUGUUUGAACUGGGACAUACUGUUUAACCUCUCUGUGCCUGAAUUUCCUCCUGUGGCAUUUGAGGACUAAGGGGUUGUGUAGUCUUCCCCUAAUUGGAGGGCUAGGUGUUGGUGAUCUCAACUAAAAUGGUAUCAAUGGGAUGGACAGAAGUGCACAAAUUAGUGAGAAAUUGAGAACCUUGAAGACUGACCAUUUCUCUACACUGGGGAGCUGACCACCUCCAGUGUGGAGAAUGGAUGCCGCAGCAUUUCAGCAUCAGAGAAUCGUUGACAAAAAGAUGCACCUCACAAGAAUGUUUAGAGAAUCUAAUACGAUAGCAUCAUGAAACCACUUUUGGAAGUAAAAAAGGCUUUUAAAAUACCAUCUCAUGGUGAUAAUACUGAACAAAAUGAUGCAACAAUUCUCUGAAUUCUUUAAGGGUACCACUUUGUAGGCAAUAAAUCCCAUCUCUUUAACCCUGACUCUUGUAAACUGAAGAUCCAAGCUUUUCACUUUAUGUCCUUCUCAAAUUGUGGUGACCUGAGUAAAAGGCAGUGAUUCAAGAUGGGGUCAGUAACAGUGCUCUUUAAACACUUUGUCUAGCAGUGCAGCCUAAGACUGCAUCCAGGUUUAGUGGCCUCAUCACCUUGGAUUUAUAUUAACCUGUGGCCAAGCCCUUCAGACUUUCAGCAUAUGAAUGGCUUCAGAGCCAGGAUUUGAAGCAGCUGUUCACAAAGGCACACUACUGAACAGACAUAGACAUGCUAAUAGCGAUAGAAAGAAAACAAGGGAAGCAUAAAAAUUGAGCCAGGGGAUUUUUCACAUUGGUUAAAAGUGGGUUCUAAGUUUCCUAACCACCCAAGCAAAGAAGAUAAUACAAUAGAGUUCCAAGAGUCCCAGUAUCAAUAUAAGUGCAUACUAGUUGCUUAGAAAAAGCAGAAAUUUUCCUAUGUUUAGGUCUGGAAAAUUUCUCCGAUACAAAUGGACACAACAGUAAAGUAUUGUGGUUUUUGGUUUUUUUUUUUGUUUUUUUCUGAGACAGAGCCCCCACUCUGUUGCCCAGGCUGGAGUGCAGUGGCAUGGCUCAGCUCACUGCAACCUCCACCUCCUGGGUUCAAGUGAUUCUCCUGCCUCAGCCUACCAAGUAGCUGGGACUACAGGUGCACACCAACACGACUGGCUAAUUGUAUUUUUAGUAGAGACAGGGUUUCGCCAUGUUGGCCAGGCUGGUCUCGAACUCCUGACCUCAAGUGAUCCACCCACCUCAACCUCUCAAAGUGCUGGGAUUACAGGUGUGAGCCACUGCACUUGGCCAGUAAGGCACCAUGUUUAACCCUCUGUUAUUCACAGACAUUUUGGAAAGGUUAAUAUUCAGUGCUGUCAAGGCUGUAGUAAAACUGGAAUACUCAGAUGGCUGAUGAUAUCAUUUAUUAGCACAACCCUUCCCCAGAGCGUUUUUAAAAUACAUAGGAAGCCAUAAAGUACUUAUAUUUUUGAUCUAUUAAUUCCAAGGAAAUAAUCUGAAAUAAGGAAAAGCUAAAUGUAAGUCUACUAAUGAGAGUGAAAAAUUUGAAACAGCAUAAAUGUCUAAUGAUAGGAAACUGUCUAAAAACAUGAUAGUAUAUAUACACACGGUAGAAAUUAUGAAAUAGCCAUUAAAAAUGAUGGUAACAAAAACUAUGUCACAACACAGAAAAUGCUUAUAAUGUUAAAUGAAAUAGCAGAUCUCAAUCUGUGUUUAUGUUAUAGUUUUAUAACAGAGAAUUGUUUGUAAAAAUAUAGGAAUAAACAGGUAAUGUGGUAAAAUGAAAAUGGAUAUUCGUUAGGGCAUUGGGAUUGUGGGUAGAACAAAAAGGGUUUGUAUAUUUAUGUACUAAAUAAACUUUUUGUUUUUUGCAAAUAGAAAA